GAGGAAGGACCGAAAGGAGAAUUCUCUUACACAACAGAAACGGACGCGAAUCAUGCGCAGCAAAAAGCCGGCAAUAACCAACCUUCCUUCUCUUACCUGUACAUUGGUUGUCAUUAAGACAGUCGCUAUUCUCUUUCAAACCUAUAUAUAUGCACCUUUCCCUGCUCACAUUUUCCAACAAUUUCCCUCUAUUCAGUUUCACAAGAUUUGGAUACAAUCCUUGUUAAUUACUAUUAAUUACUAUUAUUUAUUUGUUUCGAAUGGCGUCGCGAAGUGGGGUUGUUUUUGAAGAUUUCUUUCCAGCCAUGGUGGAGAAACUGGGUACUGAUGGGUUUAUGAAGGAGCUGUGCAAUGGGUUUCGGUUGUUGAUGGAUGAGAAGAAGGGGGUGAUCACUUUUGAGAGCUUGAAGAGGAAUGCCAACCUGCUUGGGUUGCAAGAUAUGAGCGAUGAUGAAGUAAUGUGUAUGUUGAGAGAAGGAGAUUUAGAUGGAGAUGGAGCUUUGAAUGAGAUGGAAUUUUGUACCCUCAUGUUCAGGUUGAGUCCUGGCUUGAUGAGGAGUUCUAGAAAAUGGCUUGUAGAAGCUCUUGUUAGUGAAAUGUAGGCUUUACGUUAUUGCUGUUUCUCGUUUUCUUUGGGCAAUCUUUUCUUUCGUUUUUUCCCCCGCCGAUCGGUUUGUAAUUUCCAGUUUAGUAGAAAUGAGAUCUUAAUUCCAUGAAUCCAAC
rnacentral:misc_RNA from 1 species